rnacentral:rRNA from 1 species
CUACGGAGGGUGCAAGCGUUAAUCGGAAUUACUGGGCGUAAAGAGUACGUAGGUGGUUUAUUAAGUCAGAUGUGAAAGCCCCGGGCUUAACCUGGGAACUGCAUUUGAUACUGGCAAACUAGAGUAUGGUAGAGGCGGGUAGGAUUCCUAGUGUAGCGGUGAAAUGCGUAGAUAUUAGGAGGAAUACCAGUGGCGAAGGCGGCCCGCUGGACCAAUACUGACACUGAGGUACGAAAGCGUGGGUAGCGAACAGGAUUAGAAACCCUAGUAGUCC